CUAGACCCUGCUUAGAGGAACUUCUCUACAACCAUGCAUGGGCACAUUCAGAAACAUUUCCAGUCUCUGAACAUUCAGCAGGUCUUGUUCCUCGUCUCUCAACUAUCACUUCUUCUUCUCUUUAAUUUUCUCUUCUUAAUGAUUUAAAACCUCAGCUUUCCUCUUCAUCUCAUCUGUUUUCCUCAGUGUUGAGCCAGACAUGCCCAGUUUUUUCCCUCCUUAAACUCUCUUUGUGAUACCUGUCUUGACAUGGAUCUCUAGUGUGUAUUUCUCUUUCAGCCUUCUCACUACUGGUCCAGGCAAACUAUGCAAUGAUGAAAUAAGAAGCCGAAGAAAGAUCUCAGAGUUGAUUUGAAGAGUCUGAGAUGACUCAAUUUCCUGUUAUAUUCUAAAGGGAAGCUGACCUAAAAUUUAAGACCUCGUUUACAAAGUACAUGAUUUAUUUAUUUAUGUUUUUCUGAACAGAAGAAGAUGAAGAUAAAAGGUCAACAGACUGAACACUGAACGGUUUCAACGUACAAACUUAAAGGAAUACUUUGAGGAUAUAGCAACUCAGAGGUAUGAACCAUCAAUUCAGAAGUUCAGUUUCUGGUCCCCUGCAGUUUUGUGUCAGCCAAAACUGGUGUUCUUCCCCAAGUGACAGGAAUUGAAAAAAAAACCUUGGUAGGGAUUUUUGAACUACUCUACAUCCAAAGAGCUUGGACAGGACUGGAUGAGAUCAUUUUGCUGUCUAAACAUCAUUACUACCAUGUCAGAAGCCUGUCCUUAAGUGGAAUUAAGAUGCUGGAACCGUACCUGGUGAGUACCAUUAUUCAUAUAUCUCUUUUCUUUUGGUGCCCUGUUGGAACAAUCACUCAUUUCUCUUAUCCCCAAGCCAAGAACACAUGCAGUCUCCAGAACAGGGUUUCUCUCCUGCUCUGAAUCCUAGUCUAGAUGAGAUGGCAACUGCUCAAAGCUUUCAGAGAUCAUCCAGAGAAUGUCCCACAGACUGUUCUCUCUGUGGUUUUGCUUACAUUCAAUAUCCUUUCAGUUUAUCUCCCUGACUUUUAGUGCCCAUGUUGAGUCUUUGUAUUUGUUUACUGUCUAUCUUGUUCUUCCUAAUAACUGUACUUAAUAACAGGAGAGAAGACUCACAAAGUGAACCACCCUCACAUUCCACAGAAGAGGAUGCCUGCAUAUAAUUGCAGAAGCAAUUCUAGUUCAGACCUGCUGAGAGAGCGGUUUUAUGUUACUGCUCACAAAACCUCAUGUACCUCAUUCUUAUUUGAGUACUGCUAAUUCAGACUGUGGUCUAGACCUCUAAUUGAAAAAAAAAAAAAAAUCACUAUUUUUUUUUUCUCUUUCAUUUCUAGUCAGGAAACUGCUUUUUGCUGUCCCUGGAAAAUCCCCAACAUAACGCUUUCUUUUUUACCAGUACUGUGGUUUGGGGUCAGCAUUCAUUCCUGUUGUUCAGACAUAACCUUCAAGGUCACUGGCCUCUGCCUGUUUUUUAUUUUAUUUUAUUUUAUUUUAUUUUAUUUUAUUUUAUUUUAUUUUAUUUUAUUUUAUUUUAUUUUAUUUUAUUUUAUUUUUUAUUUUUAAACAGAAUGAACUCUUAAGUUGCUUUACGUACAUGUGUGAGGUUUAUUUUACUUACACAAUUUAAACAGUGGGUAAUCUCUUAAUUCUUGAAGAUAGUACAUUCAAGUGAAGUUUGUUGUUUUUUUUUUUAUCUGCUAAAUGCUUUGUUAUUCUGGCACAUUUUAAUUAACUAUUAAAUACAAAACAAGUACAGCUUUCCAGC
rnacentral:lncRNA from 1 species